UUGGGCUGGAAGUGUGCAGUGCGCUGAAGGCGUCUUUCAGACUGACCCAAGGAAAUGAUAAGAUUUAGGAUUUUGAGGAUGAAGAAACAUUGAAAAGGAGUGGGGUAUAAUGAACGAGAAGGGAACAGGCAUAACCAGGUCUCUCGCAGGCCGUAUUUGAUGGGCCUGAAAAGAAGUCUGAUGAAACAGAUGUUACUUGAAGCUGAGUGACUUUCUCAGGAUCAAGCAAAUAAGCAAAUGGAGGAGUCAGAAUUAUAUCCCAGGUUUGGAUUAUUGAGGUUUCAGGGUAUCUUAGAGACUCACCUGGCUCACAGAAUCUUGGGAAAUUUGAUCAUCCUCAACAUGGAGGCGGUAUCCAGGAAGAGAACAGUGCAAUGUCCCCAGCCUGGCUCAAAGAAGAACAUUUUGAUAAAGCCUAUUGAAAGAGACUGAGGUGCAUAAAGAUGAAGUAACAUGUCCAGGGGCAGGAGCCCAGGCCUCUAACCUUCAUCUCCUGUCCUGUACACUCUAAUCAGGAUGGAACUGUACUGUAUAUCACUAUAUAAGACAAUAUAUGAAGUCCCAACUAUUCCCAAAGAACUGUUUCCUCUGGUUCUUCCCAGGAAGCUAAGAAACAUAUAUUUUAAGAAAUUGAUGAAGAUUUCAUGGCUGAUACAUGGUAGAAUUCAGAUUUGAACAUAGUUGUGUCUGCUUCCAAAGCAUGCUGUAUGCCCAAGCAAUAAUUCUUGCACCAAGUUCCCUCCAAGGAGAGACCCUGGGUAAUGACAAUCUCUGGUGUCAACUAAGAUUCUUAAGAACUGUAUCCUGGUUGUGAUUCCUAUGUGAACCCGAAGGCCAGAGGAAUUGGGAGGAGGAUCAUCCAUCUGUGAUGUGGCUUGUUUUACCAACUUCCACAUCUUUAGUAGUCAGUGAUGCUGAAGAGAUGCUGGUAUCAGUAAUGGGAUGACACAAUUAGGAAAAAAAAAUACACUUCUAAUGUAUUUCGUAUCAUAAUUAUGUUCUCAAGACACAAUUUCCAUAAAGAAGAAAUCAAGAGCAGAGACAGCGAGAAAUCAUAUCCUUUGUCCAAGGAGGGGGUGGGAAGAAGACAUAUCCCAUGAGGAAAAAAAUGAACCAGAAAUUUAAAAACAUUGAAACAAAAGAGUCUAGAAAAAGCAUGGAAAAGCUGUGGAAUUCUACAGGCUGGGGCAGUCAUUUGCCUUGCCAGAAACCCACCCAGCUGUUCUUAAAAAAAAAAAAAAAAAAAAAAAAAAAAAAAAGCCCGUAGGGACCAAAAACACUGACUAAUAAUUUUUGAAUCCAUCUCCACAGUUUCUUCAUCUCUGCCAAGGUCAGGUUUGGUCACUGCAUGACUGGAGGUCUGGGCAUGCUAUUCCCAGUUUUAUAUUCACAGUAGUUAUGGAGCCCUUUAUAUGUUCAAGGGCCCUCCUGUCACUUAUUACCCACCCAUCCAGACCACCCACUCACACUGCCACACACAAUACGUCCAAACACACCCACAAAUACCCAGAUUCUUUCAACCUUAUGGUCGUUCAGGCUACAGGAAUACCGUUUGCUCCAAAUGACUUUGCUUUACAUACUUGGAAUUUUCCAAAAUAAAUCUGUUUCCCUCUCUGGGGACCAGUCUGUGGAUCUUACCACUAGGCAAACAUUAAUGGAGCACCUACUGUGUGUAAGGCACAGAUGAAUGUGGAGACUAAGAGAAACUCAACAGGAGGCAGAGAAGUCUAAGAGUUCUGCUCUAGUGAGGAGGAGUGUGUGUGUGUGUGUAUGUGUGUGUGUGAUUGUAUGUGU